rnacentral:rRNA from 1 species
AUUGAACGCUGGCGGCAUGCUUUACAUAUGCAAGUCGAACGGUAACAGGCCUUCGGGUGCUGACGAGUGGCGAACGGGUGAGUAAUGCAUCGGAACGUGCCCAGAGGUGGGGGAUAACGCGGCGAAAGCUGUGCUGAUACCGCAUGUGAUCUGAGGAUGAAAGCGGGGGACCAAGCAGCAAUGUUUGGCCUCGCGCCUCUGGGGCGGCCGAUGUCAGAUUAGGUAGUUGGUGGGGUAAAGGCCUACCAAGCCGACGAUCUGUAGCUGGUCUGAGAGGACGACCAGCCACACUGGGACUGAGACACGGCCCAGACUCCUACGGGAGGCAGCAGUGGGGAAUUUUGGACAAUGGGCGCAAGCCUGAUCCAGCAAUGCCGCGUGCGGGAAGAAGGCCUUCGGGUUGUAAACCGCUUUUGUACGGAACGAAAAGGCUCUGGCUAAUACCUGGGGCUGAUGACGGUACCGUAAGAAUAAGCACCGGCUAACUACGUG